rnacentral:lncRNA from 1 species
CACGGACCGGCUGUCGCUUGUGCGGGAGCCGCAGGGUGAGAGCAGCUGCCGCGCUGGCCUGCCCGCGGGGAAGGCGCAGCAUGUUUCGCUGUUUCGUAGGCAGGAUUGUGGCGUAGCAGCCUUCAUGCGGCGUGAUGAGGGGCGCGCACCUGCACCGCGGGCGAGCUCGGGAAGCCCAUCUGCACGCGUAUGGCUCGAACGAUUGAUGCAGCAUCUCUACUGCGGUUCCUGUGGCCACGAAAAGAAGAAAAGAAACAGAGGAAAGAGCACAGAGCAACACCACAGUGAGUGCACGGCCGGCGGGGGCCGCCGGCCAGGGCUGGGACCUGCGCGCUCCUCCUCCUCGCCUCGGAAAGGCGCCAGCCCUGACUGCAUUUAUAGGACAGGUUGGUUUCCAGCACAUCUAGUAACUGCAGAGAAGCUUGAGAACUUUUUCAUUUCGGGGGGGAGGGCAGGGUAACUCGAGGGUUGCAGAAGUCCAGAAAAAUCAGUGAAAUAUGUUUGGAAUAGCUUCAGGGCUCACUUCAUCUCCUCUCAGGCCCAUUUCGCACACGAAACAGUUUGACCGGUCAGACCACAGGCAGGAGCCAAACCACCAGCAGGGGCCGGGUGAGCUUCCUCUGACAUUUUAAUAAACUGCAUUAUAUAAACA